CAGUUUUGUAAGAUUUGAAGUAUACUACAAGUGCACAUUCAAUACAAUUAGCUUCACACAGGUUGGGCACGAGCUGUAAAAUUACUCUAUAUAAAAUGUUUGCAGUUCAUAAACAAUUUUAACUACAGGCUAAUCAUGUGAUUAGUGAGAUUUUUUGCAUAAAAUAUUCCAUAAAGUUUUUUUUUUUUUUUUUUUUUUAACUUAGACCUGUAAGCAACCACUACUAGCAAUUGCAUCGCACAACCACAACUGCUAAGCAUUAUGUUUUUCCUAGAUCCUUUAUAUCUAAAAAUUAGCAGUGAUAUUGUAGCUUUUUUCCCCUUUAAUUCUGCCAGACUAAACCCAGGAGUCAAGCAAUAAAUAAGUAAACAGGAAACAUAUCACUGAGCAGCGCAUGAAUCAUUUGCAGGUAAAAAUAAUCUGCUUCCUCCCAGUUCAAACCGAUGAGAGGAAGUAGGAGUCAGACUUCAUGAGGAGCAUCGUUCACGGAUAAUACACAAAGUCUCAACGGAUAUUCAGCUGAGGCUUUGGCAGCAUGCCACUCCGCCAAUGUUCAGUAGCCUGCAGGUUCAAGGAGUGCAGAAGCCAGGAAGUGUUGAAGGUGUGCAGUCGGUGUCGAUCCCAGAAUGCAUAUUUAGCCCUAUAGGGCUCUAAUACAGUUGCCGUAAUGCAGCGUUAGUCUUUGAUCUGCACGCUGCGCUGGCGAACGAUCUCAGCGGGGCAUAUCCACUGCCUGAGAGCUUUAUACAUUAGCUUCCAUGUAAUGAUGCUUUUUGUAUCAACACUCCAGGCUAUGAUAGUGCAUGUCUAUAUGUCUACAUAGGGCAACAAGCUUCCGGCUGUGGAAGUCAGAAUGCAUACAGAUAUCUUGAGCACUCGUUGAAACCCUCUGGGAGGAUUGUGUGUUAACUCUCUUUAACCAGUACUGUGCAUUGUCAACGCAUGCAUGCAGACAGCUUGCUCAAACAGAUGAUUUUAGAUGUGGCAGCUGACCUAUGCAUGUAUUUCCUGCUGACUCUUUUACUGUAUACCUCCAUUUUUCUCAAAUGUUAAGUAAGUGUCUACAUUUGGCAGUGUCUUAUAUAAGUUUGUACAGAGUCCAGCAUAUUUGUUGUGAAACACGAAGGUGGCCCCUUGCAGAGUGUGGCUUGUGUUCAGCCGAGCUUGAAUGUCAGGAUUGUUGUGGGUGGUGUUACACAACUCUUUUUUUUUCUCUCUCCAAAGCAUAUCUUUCAGCAUUAACACAGUGCAGUCAGCUGUUUGAUCUAUGCAAACAGGUGCAGGAGUUCUUGGAAUCGUGCUGGCAACGACGUGCAAUGUAUCAACUGUAAACAGUCAGCAGUUCAUAGAAACCCUUUGUAGCAAACGAUGCAAGCAGGAAAAUGUGGCAACUGACACUGUAGCAGAAUACUUUUUUGCUCAUGCACACACUUUGAAGUGACCUUUAUAUGCUGUGUCACACCAGCAAGGAAUAACAAAAAGCAGUCUGUGAACUGAACACUUCAGCUCUUCCCACCACUGCAGUACUGGCACCCGCACCGUGACCCCGCAGCGGCCCGAGGAGGAAUGGAAAAUAACUGUGAGCGUGCUGAGGAGCGGGAACACUGUGACUGACAAAUGGGUAAUUUUCUCGGAGACAUUUGCGUCUUGAUAGGCUAAUUGUCUAAGUGUCCUCACAUUUGAGUCACCACGCUGUGGGAAAUGAGGGAUAUUUCUUUGUUUCUAAUUCUUAAAGGCAAAACGGGAGUAUGAAAUAAAGCUUUGCUAAUGUAGAGAUGGAGUCA
ensembl:lncRNA